UGUGAAAUAACCAAAGACAACAUGUGAUUGAGAGCAGCUAACAGCAGUGGUCUGGCACCCAGAGAGGUUUAAAGACAGUCUCCAUAGUGCUGUGGUCUUACAGGUGAAACACAAAUGGUGGGCACAGGGCUCACUGACACCUGACUGAUGCCCAGGAGAAGCCUAAAAUCUGUGCUAGAUGACAAAUAAACGGGAACAUAUUUCCCUGGGUAGUUUCCUAAACAAGUGCAGCAUCAGUAGUCACACAUGAUUGAGAAGCUACCAUGUUUAGUGGAAGGAGCCUCCUUGCAGGGGUGAAGCUUCCCGGUGGACAUGUGUGCUCUGCCACGGCCUGAGUACUUCCCUGCAGCAGCCCUUGGAUCAGAAAUAUGGACU